UCUGGUGCUUCUAGCGACGAGGCCACACCCGUUCCCAUCCCGAACACGGAAGUUAAGCUCGUCAGCGCCGAUGGUACUUGGGGAUUACCCCUGGGAGAGUAGGCCAGCGCCGGAA
rnacentral:rRNA from 1 species